rnacentral:rRNA from 1 species
GAUGAACGCUGGCGGCGUGCCUAAUACAUGCAAGUCGAGCGAACAGACGAGAGUGCUUGCACUCUCUGACGUUAGCGGCGGACGGGUGAGUAACACGUGGGUAACCUACCUAUAAGACUGGGAUAACUUCGGGAAACCGGAGCUAAUACCGGAUAAUAUUUAGCUUCGCAUGAAGCAAUAGUGAAAGACGGUUCUGCUGUCACUUAUAGAUGGACCCGCGGUGUAUUAGCUAGUUGGUGAGGUAACGGCUCACCAAGGCAACGAUACAUAGCCGACCUGAGAGGGUGAUCGGCCACACUGGGACUGAGACACGGCCCAGACUCCUACGGGAGGCAGCAGUAGGGAAUCUUCCGCAAUGGACGAAAGUCUGACGGAGCAAUGCCGCGUGAGUGAAGAAGGUUUUCGGAUCAUAAAACUCUGUUGUAAGGGAAGAACAAGUACGUUAGUAACUGAACGUACCUUGACGGUACCUUACCAGAAAGCCACGGCUAACUACGUG